rnacentral:rRNA from 1 species
UACGAAGGGGGCUAGCGUUGCUCGGAAUCACUGGGCGUAAAGGGUGCGUAGGCGGGUCUUUAAGUCAGGGGUGAAAUCUUGGAGCUUAACUCCGAAACUGCAUUCGAUACUGCCGUGCUUGAGGACUGGAGAGGAGACUGGAAUUUACGGUGUAGCGGUGAAAUGCGUAGAUAUCGUAAGGAAGACCAGUGGCGAAGGCGGGUCUCUGGACAGUUCCUGACGCUGAGGCACGAAGGCCAGGGGAGCAAACGGG